rnacentral:lncRNA from 1 species
AGGCUUGCUUAUAAAUUGUUUUAGAGUAAACAAUCUCUUUGUACCUCAUUAUGCACUUUACCAGGAACAUGGUGUGCAGUUCUGGUCAGCAGCCCUCAACAAAGACAUGAUUAAAGUGAGAGAGUCCAGAGAACGUUAACUAACAUGGGUGAAAGAAUAGGCUUCUCUAGUGAUUAAUUAACAUAAAUUGGUGAAUUCAUUCAUUGAAUGUUUUUCUGAAUGUAACAUAAAAAGAGGGCUCUGUUUACAAAGAGUGGAGGCUGAGGGAGAGGAUAUGAUUAAAAUCUAUAAAAUUAUGAAAACUGUUUUCUUAUUUAUUGAAUUCUGGUAUACCAGAACUCAGAAACUUUUUUUUAAUGAUUGUUUUUUUUUUAUUAUAGUUGGUUUACAGUGUUCUAUCAGUUUCUACUGUACAGCAAAGUAACCCAGUCUCACACACACACACACACACAUAUACACAUUCAGAACUCAGAAACUUAAAAAAGGUCUCCAGUGAGUAGAAACUUGUGGAAUGCAUUAUCCCAGGAUGUGGUACAGGUUGAAAAUAUAAAAUAGAUAUAUUAAAAGUUUAGAUAACCUCAUGAAUAACAGAUUGGGGGAACAGUGACACUUGAGGGUAUGUAUACAAUUCUUUUUUUUUUUUUGCUUUUUAGGGCCGCAAGUGCAGCAUGUGGAAAAUCCCAGGCCAGGGGUCAAAUUGGAGCUGUAGCUGCUGGCCUACACCACAGCCACAGCAACUGGGAUCUGAUCUGUGUCUGUGACCUACACCACAGCUCAUAGCAAAGCUGAAUCUUUAACCCAGUGAGUGAGGCCGGGGAUCAAACCUUCGUCCUCAUGGGUGCUAGUCAGAUUCAUAUCCACUGAGCCAUGAUGGGAACUCCUCUUUUGAAUUUCAUUGCUGUUUUUGUGAAGUCAUCUGUCAAACUGUUGCUCUUUUGGAAGCAAUCUGUCCUUUUUUUUCUUUCUGGCUGCUUUCACAUUUUUUUGUGUAAUGCAGUUUUGCUGUGAUGUUUCCUUAGAUGCAUUUUAUUUUAUUUGCCUGCUCAAGAUUCACUGUGAUUCAUUAAUUUGGAUUGGUGACUUUUAUCACUUCUAAAAAAAUUUAGUUAUUACUUCUUCAAAUUUUGUUUUUCUUCCUGCCUCGUUGUUUUUCUCUUCUCCUUCUGGAAUUCCAGUUAAACAUAUAUUUGCUCUCAUUCCUUAGCCCAUAUUUCUUUUUUUUUAGGACUGCACCAGUGGCACAUGGAGGUUCCCAGGCUAAGGGUUGAAUUGCAGCUGUAGCUGUCAGCCUAAGCCACAGCCACAGAAAUGCUAGAUUCAAGCUGCAUCUAUACCACAAGCUCAAGGCAAUGCUGGAUCCUAAAACACUGAGCAAGGCCAGGGAUCAUACCUGCAUCCUCAUGCAUCCUAGUCGCUUAGCCCAUAUUUCUUUUUUUAAUUUUAUUUUGCUUUUUUAUUUUUAAAUUAAAGUAUAGUUGAUUUACAAUGUUUCUUCAAUCUCUGUUGUACAGCAGAGUGACCCAAACACACAUGGUUCCCUGUGCUGCACAGUAGGACCCCAUUCCAACUUAUCCUUUCCAAAUGUAACAGUUUGCAUCCACCAACCCCAAAUUCCCCGUCCAACUCACUUCCUCCCUUCUCCUCACGGCAACCACAAGUCUGCUCUCUGUGAUCGUGAUCUGCUUCUGUUUUGUAGCUAGGAUCAUCUGUGCCAUAUUUUAGAUUACACAUAUAAGUGAUGUUAUAUGUUAGCCCAUGUCUCUCAACCUUUCUUGUAUAUUUCCAUUUUUUUCCUACUAUGCUGCAUUCUGAAUAAUUUCUUUUCCCCUACCUUCUAGUGUACUAAUUUUCCCCUUAUCUAUGUCUAGAUUGCAGUUGAAUCCAUUCAUUGAGGUUCUUUUUUUAACCUUUUUAUUUGGAAAUAACUUUAAAUAUUUAAAAUAUAUGGAUAAGUUGAAAAACAAAAACAGCGCAAAAAAAAAAAUCUGUAAACUCUUUGCCCAGAUACACCUAUCAAGAUUGUACUCCAUUUGCUUAAUCAUUUGUGCUCUGUCUUGCUCUAUGUAUAAUUUUAUAUAUUAUAUAAACUAUAGGUAUUAAUAUGUAUGCAUGUAAAUAAUUUUUCUGAAGCAUAAGCAUAACUUUAUGUAACUACAGUAAUCAAUUUCAAAAAAUUUACAUGGUAAAUUUAAGUUCAACAUAUAGAAAUUAUUGGUACUGUGCUUUUAUCUAAUCUGCUAUAUUCCAUUUUUCAGUUGACUCAAGAAUGUCUUUUACAGCAUUUCUAUCCCCUCUAGUAGUGACCAGUCUAGGUUCAGGUAUUGUAUUCAUUUGUCAUGUCUCCUAAGCCUCCUCUAAUCUGGAACACUUCCUUAGCCUUUAUCUUUUAUGAUAUUUACAUUUUAGAAGCAUAGCCCCCAUGCCUACCUUUUAAAAAUAAAAUAUUCCUAACUUGGAGUUUGUCUGAUGUUCCCUCAUAAUUAGAGUCAGGUUAUACAUUCUCGGCAAGUAUACCACAUCAGUGAUGCUGUGUCUUUUUCAGGGUGUCUUAUCUGUAGGCAGUGAUAACAGUUCUAAUCUAUCAGUCAGUUUAUUGAUUUUACCACAGUGAAAUUACUUUUUCCUCUCUUUUACAAUAAUAAGUCAUUUUUGAGGUAACACUUUUAGAUUAUACAAAUACCCUUCCUCUGGAAGGGGGAAGUGAGGAGUUGCUGUUCAGUGGGUAUAAAGUUUCAGUUAUGCAAGAUGAAUAAGUUCCAGAAAUCUGCUGUACAACAUUGCGCCUGUGGUUAAAAAUGUUGUAUUGUAGACCUAAAAGUUAGCUAAGAGGGUAAAUAGCAUGUUGAGCAUUACCUUAAUUAAGAAAUAAACUCUAUGUCUAUAGAAGAUAAAUCAAGUAAGUAAGUUAGAUGUGCAUGCAAAAAAAAAAAAAAAAAA